UAACAGCAGUAUACUGUAGGUAGGGGUAAAGGAUAGAUAAUAGACAGUAACAGCAGUAUACUGUAGGUAGGGGUAAAGGAUAGAUAAUAGACAGUAACAGCAGUAUACUGUAGGUAAAGGAUAGAUAAUAGACAGUAACAGCAGUAUACUGUAGGUAGGGGUAAAGGAUAGAUAAUAGACAGUAACAGCAGUAUACUGUAGGUAGGGGUAAAGGAUAGAUAAUAGACAGUAACAGCAGUAUACUGUAGGUAGGGGUAAAGGAUAGAUAAUAGACAGUAACAGCAGUAUACUGUAGGUAGGGGUAAAGGAUAGAUAAUAGACAGUAACAGCAGUAUACUGUAGGUAGGGGUAAAGGAUAGAUAAUAGACAGUAACAGCAGUAUACUGUAGGUAGGGGUAAAGGAUAGAUAAUAGACAGUAACAGCAGUAUACUGUAGGUAGGGGUAAAGGAUAGAUAAUAGACAGUAACAGUAUACUGUAGGUAGGGGUAAAGGAUAGAUAAUAGACAGUAACAGCAGUAUACUGUAGGUAGGGGUAAAGGAUAGAUAAUAGACAGUAACAGCAGUAUACUGUAGGUAGGGGUAAAUGAUAGAUAAUAGACAGUAACAGCAGUAUACUGUAGGUAGGGGUAAAGGAUAGAUAAUAGACAGUAACAGCAGUAUACUGUAGGUAGGGGUAAAUGAUAGAUAAUAGACAGUAACAGCAGUAUACUGUA